GAUGAACGCCGGCGGUGUGCCUAAUACAUGCAAGUCGUACGCACUGGCCCAACUGAUUGAUGGUGCUUGCACCUGAUUGACGAUGGAUCACCAGUGAGUGGCGGACGGGUGAGUAACGCGUGGGUAACCUGCCUCAUACAGGGGGAUAACAGUUAGAAAUGACUGCUAAUACCGCAUAAGACCACAGCACCGCAUGGUGCAGGGGUAAAAACUCCGGUGGUAUGAGAUGGACCCGCGUCUGAUUAGCUAGUUGGUAAGGUAACGGCUUACCAAGGCGACGAUCAGUAGCCGACCUGAGAGGGUGACCGGCCACAUUGGGACUGAGACACGGCCCAA
rnacentral:rRNA from 1 species